rnacentral:lncRNA from 1 species
UUUAAAGGCUAGUAGUGCUAGUCAGCUCUAGUCAGAUUUCACCCUGCAUGGAGAGCUAGCAUGCUUGUGAAGCAUACACUAAGCAACCCAGUUUGAAAUCCAUCUAGUAUAAAAAUUACCAAAAAGUUGUGACUCCACACACAUUUAAAUAUAUAUUAAGGGUAGCAUAUAUAGGAUCAGAAUUUUAAAACCCCAGCAUCCAUCUCCUAUCUUUCCCUCUCCCCUGCCCCCAUUUCACCUCCUUUCUAUCAGCAUGCAUGUUUGAUUUUGCAUACUCAUACUGAAUGCAUCUUACUAUACUUAUCUGUUGAAGAAUUAAUAGCAGACAAGAUGUUAACAUUAGUAACUACUUAUGUUACUUCAUUUACAUAAAGGUUUCAAAUACUAAGGAUCAUUACCAGUUCAUAUCAGUACCAAUAGGUAUCUAUUCUUUUGUCUGAUGAUACCAAAUGGCGCAUAUUGGAAUUCCGUUCCGUACAACAAUAAUGUAUCAUUCCAACCAAAACUAUUAUCAGGCAGAGAUUUAAACCUUUAAUUUAAUGUACAUAUUAAAGGUAUCGUCUCGCUUUCUCUAUCUUUUCGUAAAGAAGGAACGAGGAAAUCUUACUCAUCGUUGAUGGCGAUGAAUGUUGAGACGAUCUCGACCCUGGAGUGGUGCACUCGAUCAUAUCGAGGGCUUUCUUUGGGUUCUUGGAGGUCUUAGUCUCCCCUUAUCCGUAUUCACAGAAGAUCGAGCGAAAAAUCUUCCUUCUUAUGGACGGCCGUGGCGAACGUUGCGGAAAUCCCCGGAACGCUGCAAUUGAUCGUUGCGGGUUUCCUUCCGAUUCUUGGAGGCCUUCGUCUUCUUCCAUCUCCAAAAGAACGAGCGACCAAUCGACCGAUGGUGGUGGAGAAUCUCGCGGCGGUGGCGACCCCUGGAGUGGUGCCAUCGAUCAUUAAGGUCUCUGCGUCUCUCUAUCUCACUUCUCUUCUCUAAAUGAACCAGCGAGGAAUCUUGCAAUCUCGAUCCGGAAGAGAUGCAGUUGAUCGAAAUGGGUUUUCUUUCGGUGCUUGGAGGUCUUCCUCUCCUUUCCCCUCCCUCCCUGCAGAAGGACGAGCGAGAAAUGUUGUCGAUUGACGCGGUGGUGACCCAACCCAAUCCGAACCAACUCGAGUCUACUUGAACAAGCCCAACCCAGCCUCAAUCAU